UACGUAGGGGGCGAGCGUUGUCCGGAUUUAUUGGGCGUAAAGAGCGUGUAGGCGGCCAGAUAGGUCUGCUGUGAAAACUCGAGGCUUAACCUCGAGAUGUCGGCGGAAACCAUCUGGCUAGAGUCCGGAAGAGGAGAGUGGAAUUCCUGGUGUAGCGGUGAAAUGCGCAGAUAUCAGGAAGAACACCCGUGGCGAAGGCGGCUCUCUGGGACGGUACUGACGCUGAGACGCGAAAGCGUGGGGAGCGAACAGG
rnacentral:rRNA from 1 species